UACGUAGGGUGCAAGCGUUAAUCGGAAUUACUGGGCGUAAAGCGUGCGCAGGCGGUUUUGUAAGUCUGAUGUGAAAUCCCCGGGCUCAACCUGGGAAUUGCAUUGGAGACUGCAAGGCUAGAAUCUGGCAGAGGGGGGGUAGAAUUCCACGUGUAGCAGUGAAAUGCGUAGAGAUGCGGAGGAACACCGAUGGCGAAGGCAGCCCCCUGGGCUAACACUGACGCUCAGGCA
rnacentral:rRNA from 1 species